ACUGGGCAUGGUGGCGCGUGCCUGUAGUCCCAGCCACUCAGGAGGCUGAGGUGGGAGGAUCUCUUGAGCUCUGGAGUUCUGGGCUGUUGUGGGCUAUGCCAACUGGGUGUCUACACUAAGUUCAGCAUCAAUAUGGUGACCUCUCGGGAGUGGGGGACCACCAGGUUGCCUCAGGAGGGGUGAAGUAGCCCAGGUUGGAAAUGGAACAGGUCAAAACUCCCUUGCUGAUCAGUAGUGGGAUCCCGCCUGUGAAUAGCCAUUGCGCUCCAGCCUGGGCAACAUAGGGAGACCCUGUCUCU
rnacentral:SRP_RNA from 1 species